rnacentral:SRP_RNA from 2 species
UGGGAGCCGGGCGGACAGGCCGCUCGCCAACCCGGUCAGGUCCGGAAGGAAGCAGCCGCAACGAUUCCGGUCUGGGUCGUUCCCGGCUCCCACCC